AUUGAACGCUGGCGGCAGGCCUAACACAUGCAAGUCGAGCGGAUGAAGGGAGCUUGCUCCUGGAUUCAGCGGCGGACGGGUGAGUAAUGCCUAGGAAUCUGCCUGGUAGUGGGGGAUAACGUCCGGAAACGGGCGCUAAUACCGCAUACGUCCUGAGGGAGAAAGUGGGGGAUCUUCGGACCUCACGCUAUCAGAUGAGCCUAGGUCGGAUUAGCUAGUUGGUGGGGUAAAGGCCUACCAAGGCGACGAUCCGUAACUGGUCUGAGAGGAUGAUCAGUCACACUGGAACAGAGACACGGUACAGACUCCUACGGGGGGCAGCAGUGGAAAAUAUUGGACAGGGGGCGAAAGCCUGAUCCCGCCAUGCCGCGUGUGAAGAAGGUCUUCGGAUUGUAAAGCACUUUAAGUUGGGAGGAAGGGCAGUAAGUUAAUACCUUGCUGUUUUGACGUUACCAACAGAAUAAGCACCGGCUAACUUCGUG
rnacentral:rRNA from 1 species